UACAGAGGGUGCAAGCGUUGUUCGGAAUUAUUGGGCGUAAAGGGCGCGUAGGCGGUUCGGCAAGUCUCUAGUGAAAUCUCUGGGCUCAACUCAGAGUCUGCUGGGGAAACUGCCGGGCUUGAGUGUGGGAGAGGAGAGUGGAAUUCCCGGUGUAGCGGUGAAAUGCGUAGAUAUCGGGAGGAACAUCAGUGGCGAAGGCGGCUGCCUGGCCCAAUACUGACACUCAGGGUCGCGACAGCGGUGGGGAGCAAACAGG
rnacentral:rRNA from 1 species